rnacentral:lncRNA from 1 species
AAUAUAUAUUUCUUUUUGGUAGUUUCGAUUUUCAAUCCCAGUCACCGCCUAUUUUACACUCAAAUUUCACGGUUUUUUUUUUUUUUCUUAAUAGUUUUUUACUAUAAUAGUAUAUUUAGUAUUAUUAAUUGUUUCAUGAAAUAAUAUUCGUGUAUUUUACGAAAUAGGUGACCGGAGAUUGACCCCCGUAAAAUUCGGCCCUGAUUAAGAUGGCGGCACACAAUGGUCCGAAUCGUAAUUAAGUUUAUUUAAAAUUCAAUUUUAAAAUUAUGUCAAAUAUGAUCUUUGCUAUAGAAUUAUUAAUAAUUAUAAGUAUACUAGAGAUGAUUUAAUGCUUAUCAUACAUUUUACCCAUAACAAACCUAGUUAAUUACCCAGACUCAAAACGAUAGGUUUGGUAUUUCACACUAUCAUAUCAGUUAAAAUGUAAAGGUUACAUAAUUAAGGUAAGCUAAAUUACGAUCCAGAGCACUGUGCGGCGGUUUGACCUGAAAAAUUCGUACUAUGUCUACUUUCGCUGAAUUACUGCAAUGUUUUCGGUUAAGCGGAGUUUAGGUAAACAUUUCCGGGUGUAAUUUAAUCGCAAACGAUGUAAAAUAGAUUUCGGUUCAAGUAUCACACGCAUGCGUCUUUAUUAUUAUUAUUAUAACUUGCACCGGAAACCCAAUGAUGGGUAUUCGCGAUCGGUGCGAAGAGAGUAUGGCGGCGACGGCGGCGGAGGUUCGGCACGCGCGGAAUCCGAUCGUGUCGUCGUCGCCUUCGUUGUCUGUAUUUUAAUUAAUACUUUUUCGAUUUCUUCUUUUUAUAUAUUCGCACGUUUUAACAACGACAACGGCCGAGAGCCACAACGAAAAUUAAUUAUUAUACACGCGGUCGUGGAUAAAUAAUAAUAAUUUAAUAAAAUUACGUGCCGAAACCGUAUAUAUUAUACAUUAUACGGGUCAAUGAUAAUAAUUUACUGCCAACACAAGCGUGCAUAACGGGGAAAAAACAAAAAAUACAAUAAAACACGUCGACGGCGAAUUUUCAUCACACUAAGAACUGCGCGGGUCGCAUAAUAUACGCGUCGUUUCGAUGGUAUGAAAUGCACUUUUAAAACGGGUGGAUAACGAUAUUUCGAAGGAAAAGUGUUUCAAUUAUAACAUUUUCGUAAAUUGAUAUUUUAUUGAUAAAGCCCGGUGUUUACACCGUACAGCCUACCGGGUAUUCGAAAUAUUUCAAUCGGGUUUAAAUCGAUUGUUAUUUGAACAUUGUGAACAAUAAUAGCAUAAUAUUAUGGCGUGCCUAUAUACCUACGCGUAAAUUCCUAUUGGCAAACACGAUAUUUAACCUCAACCUGUUAGGUAUGACACUACCUAUAAGUCUAUAACGCUUAAAAAUCGUCUUCCUCCGGUAUCGUCCGCUUUUGUCGCGUUUUAAUAACAUUAUAGGAAUCUAAACCGUUUCCGUACGUCGUCGUUAACAUUGUAAAGGCCGUAUUUUAACAACAAUAUUAUUCGUGUAGUCUUCGCUCGUCGGGUGGCUAUGAACGGGUUCCUCCUCGUGUGUGUAUUACAUUUGUACAACGUCUCGCCUAACAGUCCGGUCCGAGCCGAAAAGUGUCGACGCAGCAUAAAUAAUUGUGCGUCGUGUGUCGCAAGUGUAACA